AUUAGGGGCUCAUUAAUCGGCUUUCCACUGCUUACAUUCAGAGUAAUAUAGAUGACCUUCUUUCAUAGCCCUUUGGCCAGAGGUACACGUAGCCUCACAUAUAUGGAGGGCAACUGAAUAAUGUGGAGAAAUGACAAAUGGAAGAUUUGGUUUUUUUUGUCUCUGUUCCUAGACACCCAUUAACCUUCCUGCAGGGGUUGGUGUGAAGCAUGACUUUUGUCAAGCUCACUACUUGGCCAUGUUAAAUAUCAUCCUGAACAACUCAGCACAUUCUCAGUAAUGAGAAACCCGACACCAGGAGUACGUAUGUGAAAUUGCUGUGUCCACACUACUUGAGAGUGUAAGAAAUGGAUCCAGAACUCCUGUUUCCUGACUUUCAGGAUGUCUAACGCGGAAAUAUUGCAGCCCAUAAAUCAACAUAUUCAGUAUUGUAAUGAAAAUCCACAUAUAAAGCUAUUUGUGAAGAUUCUUUCUGCAGCAAGAAAAUCCAAAUAGAUCAUUUGUCAGCACCACAUUACAACCAACCUAGCUAACUGGCCACUUCAGAUAGUUCAUGUUAUAUCAUCUUUCAAAAUAGAAUGAAGUAUGAACUUUGUUGUAAUUUUUCUAAGCUAUUUGCUUGGUUUCUGAAAGCAAAGGGCUAAAAUAGCAAAUGGUAAUGGAUUGUAUUUUCAAUUUGAGUCUAUUGUAAAUAGUAAUAAAGUCUCUGGUUUUGUUGGCCGAAUCACAUGAAAAUCAUGGUUCUAGAGUUUAGAAUGCAAAACUAAUUGUUUCACCCUCAAGCUGGGAAUAUUUUAAAAAAUAAAUAUUAUAAUACCGGGAUCAAAUUAUUACCUCCCCCCCUUGGUGUGGAAAUUUUUUUUAUUAAAUUGGUAAGACUUUGUUUCCGUUGUAUUUAUAAUGUUCUGUUAUACAUAACAUUAAAAUGUUCAUUAAAAUAAAAAAAAUUGGAUCUGUCAUUUCUUCAAUGUAUGACUGGGCAAAUCAGAAACUUAACU